UACAGAGGUGGCAAGCGUUGUUCGGAAUUACUGGGCGUAAAGGGCGCGUAGGCGGCCUUCUAAGUCAGACGUGAAAUCCCCCGGCUUAACCUGGGAACUGCGUCUGAUACUGGGAGGCUUGAGUAUGGGAGAGGGAUGUAGAAUUCCAGGUGUAGCGGUGAAAUGCGUAGAGAUCCGGAGGAACACCGACGGCGUAGGCAGCGCCCUGGACGACACCUGACGCUGAGGCACGAAAGCUGGGGGAGCAAACAGG
rnacentral:rRNA from 1 species